AAUGGGGGAAACCCUGACGCAGCAACGCCGCGUGAAGGAUGAAGGCCUUCGGGUCGUAAACUUCUGUCAGAUGGGAAGAAGGUCUGUCGGUAAGACUAGCAGGCUUGACGGUACCAUCAGAGGAAGCCCCGGCUAACUCCGUGCCAGCAGCCGCGGUAAUACGGAGGGGGCAAGCGUUAUUCGGAUUUAUUGGGCGUAAGGGCGCGUAGGCGGCUUGAUAAGUCAAAGGUGAAAUCCCUCGGCUCAACCGAGGAACUGCCUUUGAAACUGUCUCGCUAGAGUUCGGGAGAGGGUAGCGGAAUUCACAGUGUAGCGGUGAAAUGCGUAGAUAUUGUGAGGAACACCAGUGGCGAAGGCGGCUACCUGGACCGAUACUGACGCUGAGGUGCGAAAGCGUAGGGAGCAAACAGGAUU
rnacentral:rRNA from 1 species